AGCGUCUCGACCUGGACCCUGCGUGUUUCCUCGUCGGUGACUGAGAAUGAGGAGCAGCGUGGUCUCCGGCAGAGGGGACCAACGAGGUCUGAACUGAGAGACAGAGGCAUCUGACUUCCCCGCCCCUCCUCCCGUUCGCCUGUCCUGGGUCCCUCCCAGUGCAGACCACCCGUCCACCUGCACAGCCAGUUGCGGAGAGGAGAGCCCCUCCGGAGACUCUCUCCCCUGUCCAGCUCUGACGCCUCCCCCCAGGCCCCCUCAAUCAGCCCUUCUCCAACUUCCCACCCUCGACCGCCAACUGCCUAAGAGAAUGAACGAGAACCCUGGGUAUUAGGGGCACAGUCCACAGCUCGCGUAGCUGUGAAGUGUUUUUCUCAGCAUGCAAAUGCAUGCGGCACACGCUCGCUGAAAACAAAGACAAAAAAACCAGCCUACGGGGGCUGUUUAUUUCGGAUGCCGGCUCUUCCAAAAUCAUCCGCAUAACCAGUGGAUAAGACAAAACUGAGAUAAUUGCUCGUCAAGAUGAAGAAAAUGAGGUGGAGAGAAGAUACGUAGUUGCUUUGUCUGAUGAUAAGCAUCACCUGGUUUGAAGAUUUAAAGUGCCUGUGCUGGUCCUCGCCAAAGAUUCAAGAAGAUCUUCCCAAGCUUCUUAUUUUUUCCCUCAGAUCUUCUGGUUUCUGAAUAGAACCAGAUUUCCAGAGCAUCGUCCCUGUGCAAGGAGAGAGGGAAGGACCUCCGACAGCAGUGGGCCCAGCAUCUUGUGGGAGGACCACGUUUGCUUUUUUAGUCAAGGGGAAAGCAGCAGUGACAUUGUCCCCACGCACAGCAUCCUGGGUGUAUUCGGUCUGUAUCACGGCAGUCCAGGCUCUUCUAUUUGUAAAGAAAAUUCUACCCCAAGUUCUAAAAAUGAAAGAAUUGAGCUCAACUCAAACUGUUAAUUUCAUUCGCUCAAUUAAAAGUUACUUUUAGCCCUGGCUGGUGUAUCUCAGUGGAUUGAGCACGGGCCUGCAAACCAAAAGAUCGUGGUUCGAUUCCCCAUCAGGGCACAUACCUGGGUUGUAGGCCAGUUCCCAGCAGGGGCCAGUUCCCAGCAGGGGCUGCACGAGAAGCAACCAUACAUUGAUGUUUCUCUCCCUCUCUCCUUCCUUUCCCUUCUAAAGAUAAAUAAUUUUUUUUAAAAAGUUACUUUCAAAUACCUAACGCAUGUCUAGCGUUGUGCUAGGCCCUGAGGGUACACAGAAGAACAGACAUGACCCCUGUCCUGAAGUUUAAAAUCUGGUAAAGAAGACUAUGUGUGUGUGUGUGUGUGUGUGUGUGUGUGUGUGUGUAAAUAAAUUAAAAGCCAUUAAGUGAGCUGGCUACCUUAUUUUUAAAAAGAUUUUAUUUAUUUAUUUUUAGAGAGAGGAAGAAAGGGAGAAAGAAGAAACACUAAUGUGUGGUUGCCUGUCACAUGCCCCCCACUGGGGACCUGGCCCACAACCCAGGCCUGUGCCCUGACUGGGAAUCAAACCAGCAACCCUUUGGUUCACAGGCCACACUGAGCCACACCAGCCAGGGCUGAGCCGGCUCCUUAAAUAAAUAAAUAAAUAAAUAAAUAAAUAAAUAAAUAAAAUAACAAGUGUUGGCAAGGAUGUGAAGAAGUGGAAGAAACUGAACUCCUUGUGCACUGUUGGUGGGGACCUGAAAUGAUGCAAACUGCUUAUGGAAAAUAGUGUGGUGGUUCCUCAAAAUGAAAUUAAACAUAGAACUGUCAAGUGACCCAGCAAUACCACUACUGAAUAUAUAUCCAAAAGAGUCAAAAGCCAGGGCUCAAAGAGAUAUUUGCACAUUCGCAGCACUAUUCACAACAGCCAAGAGGUGGAAGCGACCCAGAUAUCCACUGACAGAUAAAUGGCUAAGUCAAAUGUGGUCUAUACAUACAAUGGAAUAUUGUUCAACCUAAAAGAGAAGGAAAUCUUGUCACACACUACAACAUGGGUGAACCUGGAGGACAUUGCGCUAAGUGAAAUAAGCCUGUCACAAACAGGCAAAUACUCUAUGAUGCUACGUGUACCUUUAGAUGUAGAGGCAUCCAAAGCUCAGUAGUCUCCCUCUUAUUCACGGUUUCACUUCCUGCAGUUUCAGUUACCUGUGGUCAACCAUGGUCCAAAAAUAUUAAAUGGAAAAUUUCCGAAAUAAACCACUCAUAAGGUUUAGAUUGCAUGCCAUUCUGAGUAGCAUGACAAAAUCUCAUGCAGUCCCUCUCUGUCCCACUGCCCCUCCUGGGCUGGGAAUCAUCCCUUUGUCUAGAGUCUCCACGCUGGCUAUGCUACCCUCCCAUUAGUCACGUAGCAGACGUCUUGGUUAUCAGAUUGAUUGUCAAGGUAUCACAGUGCUGUGUUUAAGUAACCCUUAUGGUCAGGUCAGUAGUAGCCUAACUUCACCUUACAAUGGCUGUGUCAUUCGCCUCCCUUUAUCUUAUCAUAUGGACAUUGUAUCAUCUCACAUCAUCAAUCACAAGAAGAAGAAGAGAGAGUAAAGUACAGGAAGAU